AUAACGACUCUCGGCAACGGAUAUCUCGGCUCACGCAUCGAUGAAGAACGUAGCAAAAUGCGAUACUUGGUGUGAAUUGCAGAAUCCCGUGAACCAUCGAGUUUUUGAACGCAAGUUGCGCCCAAAGCCAUCCGGUUGAGGGCACGCCUGCCUGGGCGUCACGC
rnacentral:rRNA from 2 species